UACGUAGGAUGCGAGCGUUGUCCGGAAUUACUGGGCGUAAAGCGCACGCAGGCGGUCUGUCAAGUCGGAUGUGAAAUCCCCGGGCUCAACCUGGGAACUGCAUUCGAAACUGGCAGGCUAGAGUCUUGUAGAGGGGGGUAGAAUUCCAGGUGUAGCGGUGAAAUGCGUAGAGAUCUGGAGGAAUACCGGUGGCGAAGGCGGCCCCCUGGACAAAGACUGACGCUCAGGUGCGAAAGCGUGGGGAGCAAACAGG
rnacentral:rRNA from 1 species